CUAGCAAGAAGGACUUCACCAGAUGCAGCUCUCUGACCUCAGACUUCCCAGCCUCCAGAACUAACACUGCUCUGAGUCCUCCACGCUGAGAAGUCAAAGAUGAAAGACUGCGCUGGAGAGAGAGACACAGCUGUUGCCGGUGAGCCCAGCCCCCAGCCACCCCGCCAGCUGAAAGCAGCUGUAUGAGGUGCACAGGAGAGACCUGCAGAAGAGCUGCCCAGGCAUUCCACAGAAUCAUGAGAAAUGAUGAAUCGUUUUUUAAAGCAAUUAAGCUUUGGGGCUCUUUUGUUUCACCGUAAAAAUAACUGAUACAAUCUAGAUAGUUCCAGUGGCCUCCAUUCUAGGUUUUUUUUUCUCCAGUCUUGCAACUCCAGUGCACCACCACGUGUCACCAGAAUGGUCAUUCUAACUUGAACUCUCACUGGAUUAAAAA
rnacentral:lncRNA from 1 species